rnacentral:rRNA from 1 species
AGAGCGAACGCUGGCGGCAGGCCUAACACAUGCAAGUCGAGCGCCCGUAGCAAUACGGGAGCGGCAGACGGGAUAGUAACACGUGGGAACGCGCCCUUCGGUUCGGAAUAACUCAGGGAAACUUAAGCUAAUACCGAAUACGCCCUUACGGGGAAAGAUUUAUUGCCGAAGGAACGGCCCGCGUCCGAUUAGCUAGUUGGUGAGGUAAUGGCUCACCAAGGCUACGAUCGGUAGCUGGUCUGAGAGGAUGACCAGCAUCACUGGGACUGAGACACGGCCCAGACUCCUACGGGAGGCAGCAGUGGGGAAUAUUGGACAAUGGGCGCAAGCCUGAUCCAGCCAUGCCGCGUGGAUGAUGAAGGCCUUAGGGUUGUAAAGUCCUUUUAACGGGGAAGAUAAUGACGGUACCCGUAGAAUAAGCCCCGGCUAACUUCGUGCCAGCAGCCGC